rnacentral:Y_RNA from 1 species
GGCUAGUUGUAAGUGGUGCUUACAACUAAUUGAUCACAACAAGCUACAGAAUUAUUUAUUCCUUCUCCACUUCCACUGCUUCACUUCACUAGCCUUUA